CCAUCCGUUCCCCACAGCCUGUGGCGGGUGAGCCAAUGGCAUAGAGGAACGCAACAACGAUGAUGAGGAGGAAGCUAGAUGUCCUCAUGGCUAUUGGAUUGUCUAAUGGGGUUCUAUAUCUUGAGAUAGUUAUGUGGGACUUUGGUGAGUUGGUGAUGUGAGUCGAUCCAAAACAAGUGAGAUAGGUGUGCUUAAAUAGACAUUGUUAUAAGGGGCAGCCAUUAAUAGGAUGCUUAUCCAAGUAGGCAUUUACAAUGGCAUUUAUGACAACCUUUUAUACGGGGACAAACUUUAUUCACAAGUUAAUCAAUUGGAUCCAUAUCCAAAGAAUUUGACCUACUUAAACUUAGAAACGUUUAAAUACAUGCUUUCUUGAUGGUUGUAUUUCAUAGCCGGGUAGUAACUAGUGCACCCACUGACAAGUUGUGACUAAUAUCUUAUCCAUAAAAUGGUCAAAAUUAAAAUAAUUUGCCUUAUGGGUAGUAAAAACCUGUAUUUAAACCUUUGUAUGAAAAUAUAUCUAGAUUUCUAUCAUGGAAAUACUAAUAGUUAUAAUUAUACAAAUUGUUCUUAAAAUUUCAUAUAUAUUUUUGGAGUAAUACUUCAACUAUUAUCUUGGUGCCAAAAUUUGGGUUGAUUCGUCACACAACCACUUAUCUUUCUUGUGCUUGGAAACUUGAGUAUGAUAUGAGCAAUAUGAAACGUGUGGAUCUUUAUUAAACCCAAAUGAUAAGUGGCCAAUAUGUGGUACGAAGCAACAUGGUCCUAACGCCCCUAUUAUCAUCCACUUUGCCACAUCAAAUGGAUAACAUCAGCAGAUUUUUUUUUUUGUUUUUUAGACAUCAAAAUGUAUUAUCUCCCAAAUAAUAAAUUUGAUUACAAAUCUAUUUUCAUCGUUAAAUCUGCCUUGACGAGAUAUUCAAAACUAUAUCCCAUAUUGCUAUGUUUCGACGAUUUUUUGUGUGCCAAAAGUUGCCAUGAUAUUUACAUUGAAAUUGUCAUAGUGUUUACACUAAAGUUGCCAUGAUAUGUUUCAUCUAUUUUUCUUCUUCUAGAUUUUGAAGCUGCCAUUUUAUAUCAACUAAUUUUCACAUAAAAUUUUAUGAAUGGAUCGUGGAAAUUUUUAGUAAUUAACCACGGUGAAAUUAAUUCAUGGAUCAUGGCAAUUUUUAGUAAUUCAUCUUGGAAAUUUUAGUUUAAAAAUCAUGGCAAAUUUAGUUUAUAGAUCAUGGAAAUUUUAGUAGUUUGACCAUGAAAUUUUAGUAUUUGACCAAGGAAAAUUUUUUUGGUAUGAACCAUGGCAAAUUUUAGUGCAUGUAUCUUUGCAAAUUUAAGUAAUUCACCAUGGUAAUUUUAGUGUAUGGUUCAUGACAAAUUUGAGUCAUUGACCUUGCAUUUUUAAAAUAAUGAACAACGGGUUUCUUUUCUAAUUAUUAACCUUCAUGCCUAGAAGAGAACUAACUAGAUGCUUCAUUUGGUUGUGUGUAUAAUUGGUCUAGGGGUAUAAGAUAUAUCAUACGUGUUUGCUACUAUUUUAACAUGAAAGAAAAGUAGCGGAUAUGUUACAACAUAUACACAUAUUGCUAAAAUAAAUAAUUCUAUGAGGCAGUGGUAACACACACAGAGACAUGCAUAACAUGUUCAAGAUUAGGAAUCAUCCGCUUCUACGCGGUGUCAAAACACAUCAUAUAUAUGCCGAAAUUGCAGCCCGAACCGAAGGAGAUAUAUAAAAAUACCCAAGUAAUCUCAUAACAGCUAUCUCUGUUUCAAACAUUCCAUCCGUCUAAGAUGAAUCUUCUCUAGAAACUUAGGUGUACCAACUUGCUCGUACGCAAGUCACCACAAUGAAAACAAUCGUAUAUAUGAUAAACAAGGCCACAUGUGCAAUCAUGGCAACCAUCAGCACACCCCACGGAAAGUGUUAGGAACCUUUCGCCACUAGAGAGGUCGUAGUACAAAGGAGAAUUAUCCUUGAGACGCCGACGACGUACAAUGGUGUCGUCCACAGCAGUAGGUAUGGCCUUGUAAUUCACGGCAAUAGUCUCCCUCACAUAGACAGAGACAUCAUCGUCCUCGAUGUAAAUUCCAUGGUCAAUAGUAGUGAAGAGAGUAUUACCUCCGAUGCUUGUUACUGGGACAACCUUGCCCAUGAUAAGAUCGGCUACUUUGUAGACGAGCAUGCGCCCCUCUAAAAGUGGGUUAGCGUCGUGACCAAUCAGUCGGAUCUCCGAGACGCAUUCUUCCAUGCUGAACCGGCCUCUGAUUUUGUCAUUGGGACACGUGGCAAUCAACCUUGGCGGCAACAAAUAAGAUGACACUGCGUGAUGACCGAGGCGGGGUGGAUCGAUCUGCAGAAUAAGUUGUUUGCCGCCAUAUGUGGUGGGAGAAUCCAACACAAAUAAUUUUCCUUGGGGUGAUAUUGUAUGAGAGUAGCCUUGGAGGCUCCAAGUCGAGACACUCCAUUGCUGGUCCUUGGUAGUAGCAAAGAAUACUCGUGGUAUAUUAUAAAGCUUGAUCAUAACGGUGACGACUCCAUCAAUACUCACGCUCAUUGAGGUGACACCACUGAAAGCAACAUGUCUCCUGCCAUUUGACAUAUCCAAGUUGGCCCUUACCAGGGACAUGAGCGGCGGUAGCUCCACAAAGUCGUCGGUGAAAGGGUGGAGGAUAUGCAUACAGUGCUUAAAAGUUGGAAAACGUUUCACGCCAGCGCGCCCGCCGAAACUAUGGUUUGUCGGUUGCGAGCCAUGUGAUCAAGCCCCCAUUGUACGUCUCGCACAUCACCCUGGCCCAUCUUAUCUCUCAGCCUAGCGCGCUGGUGGCCACACUCCUCGUCUUCCUCCUUCGGAUCCCGCCGCCGUCUAGCCCCAAUCGCGGCUCAAGCUCAAGAAGGCGACACCCAUGGAUGACGGUGCUCCUCCAAGGCAACCAUGUUGGUGUGCUUGCCGAUGGCCUCGUCGACAUGCUUGCCUUCGGCGAGCCUCGUUGAUGGCGGUCGGGGCAGCGUGGGAGGCGUCAGCUUGGGAGUGGGGGCUCGGAAGGAACAAAUGAGGAGACUGCUCCCGGCAGCCUCGUCGGAUGAUUUGAAUAAUUCCCGAAUUUAUAUAGGCAGUUUUAUUGUUGGCCCAUCCUGCCUUAUGUGGAUUAGCUCCACUGGGGGAUUAUUCGCCCUGCACGCAACGCUGUUACUGUAUUGUGAUUGCGACAACUGGGAGAAGAGGGCCUCGCCGACGGGCGAUGGCAGGCCGGAGACGGGGCACGCGUGCGUCGGUGUCGAACGCUGCCGACCCUCCCUUACUGGGCCGGGUAAUAGCAAGGUACGACAUGAUCCAAGGUCCAAUUCUGCCGAGAAAUUAUGACCCGACCCAGUAAUCUUUGCCGAUCGACUCGAGUUCCGAUCGGUUUGAUCUCCUCGUGGCGGAGUCGUACACAGUCUGCGUCUCAGCUAUCCCUCGGUACGUUCUUCUAGAAAAACUACCCCUCGGUACGUAGAGCUAGGGUAGAAAGACCAGAUCGAUCUUCUACUUUUCGAGAGAAGAGAGAAGAUAUGCCGUCUGCGAUCGAUCCACCGAUGUCAUCAUCACGGGCCAACCACGACGGCGCAUCAGCCAUCGCUGAUGCUGCUGCCUCCGCCGCCAGCUCCGAAGACGACGUCUCUCCAUGGUCGUCUCUGCAUGCAGAUUUGGUUCGUCAACUCGGCUGGGAGGUGCUGGCCGGAGAUAUACUGGACUAUGUCCGAUUUCGUGCCGUGUGCGCCCACUGGCGGUCCAGCACCGUCGCGCCGCGGGGGCACGGCAUCGUCGACCCACGCUUCCACCCCAAGAGGUGGUUCCUGCUGCCCGAGGGUCACGGCCUGCACCCUGCUGACGGCAAGAAACGUUUCUUCAAUCUCUCCACAGGAGUUUUCGUCCGUGUCUUGCUCCCCUUCUUAAGCGAUAGCUAUGUCCUUGACUCGGCCGAUGGCCUCCUCCUCUUGCAACGGAAAAGCCAAGACACCUCCGCGAUCCGGCUCCUCCACCCUUUCACCGACGACUUUGCGGAGCUACCACCGCCCAUGUCCCUUGUAAGAGCUAACUUGGAUAUGUCCGAUGGCACACGACGGGUUGAUUUCCGUAGUGUCACUUCCAUUAGCGUCACUGUUGAUGGAGUCGUCGCAGUCAUGAUCAAGCUUUACAAUAUAUCACGUGUAUUCUUUGCUACUACUAAGGACCGGCAGUGGAGUGUCUCGACUUGGAAUAUCGGAUGGUACUCCGAGACAAUAUCGUCCAACCACAUAUCGCCGUGAACAACAUAUUCUCCAGAUCGAUCCACCCCGCCUUGAUCAUCACGCCAUGUCAUCUUAUUUGUUGCCAUCAAGGUUGAUUGCCACGUGUCCCACUAACAAAAUUUCUGGCAUGUUCUACAUGGAAGAUUGUGUCUCGGAGAUCCUAGUGAUUGGUCAGGAUGCUAACCCAUUUUUCAAGGGCCGCUUGGUCGUCUACAAAGUAGCCGAUCUUAUCAUGGGCAAGGUUAUCCCGGUAACAAGCAUCGGAGGUAAUACUCUCUUCACUACAAUUGACAAUGGAAUUAGCAUUGACGAUAAUGAUAUCUCUGUUUAUGUGAGGGAGACUAUUGUUGUGAGUUACAAGCCCAUACCUACUGCUAUGGGCGACACCAUUGUACGCCGUCGGCGUCUCAAGGAUAAUUCUCCUUUGUACUACGACCUCUUUAGCGGCGAAUGGUCCCAAGGACCGGCCAUGGAGUGUGCUGAUGGUUACCAUGAUUGCACCUGUGUCCUUGUUUAUCAUAUCUACGAUUGUUGUCAUUGUGGUGACUUCCGUGCGAGCAAGUUGGUACACCUAAGUUUCUAGAGCAGAUACUCGUGUGUCAUAGAGAUGUACUUAUCCUUGGAAAAGUUGAAUGGUGUCCUGGAAACCAUCCCACUGCUUAUAGUAGAAUGAUCGAUCUAGUGCUAAUACCGUGUUUUUAUUUCAUGACUCUUUGGUAUUGCAUUGUAUUGCAGUUAUAGAUCUCUGCAAUUGCAAGUUAUAUUUAGUUGUUCCAUUUUCUGCUCUUAUCAUUGUCAAGUUGUAGAUGUAUGCUAUUUGAUAUGUUACAAGCAUGGCAACGCAAGAGGAUAAAUUAUUAGUCGAUAAAAAACAGUUAACAAAUCUGCAACAUCACAAUUAUUACUACCGAAGUUAUUGCUACCCGCCUAUUUCACCUUGGCGAAUGAGAGGAGCUGGCGUUUGUGAGUCCACGUCUGCUCGUACACCUCUGCCUUGUACUUGUCUUCUUUCCCGCCAAUGUCUGAUGCCUCGAUGAUGAGUUCGUAGUUCAUUCCAGAAACAAGUUGUUGCCUGCCACUUACCACCUUGUUGAACUUGAGCACGCAGUUCACAUGCUUGCCGAACUCCAACACCGCCCAACGGCCGAGCUCCUGGAUGUGUUGGUCGUUGAUGUUUCCGAUUGGUUCCCAUCCAUUCUCAAUUGCCGUGUUCCACAAUUGGUUGCCCAUCCGUUCCCCACAGCCUAUGGCAGGUGAGCCGAUGGCAUAGAGGAACGCAACAACGAUGAUGAGGAGGAAGCUAGAUGUCCUCAUGGCUAUUGGAUUGUCUAGUGGGGUUCUUGAUCUUGAGAUAGUUAUGUGGGACUUUGGUGAAUUGGUGAUGUGAGUGGAUCCAAAACAAUUGAGGUAGCGGUGCUUAAAUAGACAUUGUUAUAAGAG
rnacentral:lncRNA from 1 species